GAAUAUUGGGCAAUGGCCGAGAGGCUGACCCAGCCAUGCCGCGAGCAGGGGGAAGGCCGUCUGGGUUGUAAACUGCUUUUACCAAGGAAGAAAACGCCCCUGCGGGGGUAACUGACGGGACUUGGCGAAUAAGCACAGGCGAACUCCGUGCCAGCAUCCGCGGUAAUACGGAGGGUGCAAGCGUUGUCCGGAUUUAUUGGGUUUAAAGGGUGCGUAGGCGGCCCGUUAAGUCAGCGGUGAAAUCCCACGGCUCAACCGUGGAACUGCCGUUGAUACUGGCGGGCUUGAGUUCGGUCGAGGCGGGCGGAACUGGUGGUGUAGCGGUGAAAUGCAUAGAUACCACCAAGAACCCCGAUUGCGUAGGCAGCUCGCUGGGCCGAAACUGACGCUGAGGCACGAAAGCGUGGGGAGCGAACAGG
rnacentral:rRNA from 1 species